rnacentral:piRNA from 1 species
UGCCUUUGUGAGCGUUAGAUGAUGCUCGU